GAUGAACGCUAGCGGCAGGCUUAACACAUGCAAGUCGAGGGGUAGAAGGAGCUUGCUCCUUUGAGACCGGCGCACGGGUGCGUAACGCGUGGGAACCUGCCUCUAGGUUCGGAAUAACUCAGAGAAAUUUGAGCUAAUACCGGAUAAUGUCUUCGGACCAAAGAUUUAUCGCCUUUAGAUGGGCCCGCGUUGGAUUAGCUAGUUGGUGGGGUAAAGGCCUACAAGGCGACGAUCCAUAGCUGGUCUGAGAGGAUGAUCAGCCACACUGGGACUGAGACACGGCCCAGACUCCUACGGGAGGCAGCAGUGGGGAAUAUUGGACAAUGGGCGAAAGCCUGAUCCAGCAAUGCCGCGUGAGUGAUGAAGGCCUUAGGGUUGUAAAGCUCUUUACCCGAGAUGAUAAUGACAGUAUCGGGAGAAUAAGCUCCGGCUAACUCCGUGCCAGCAGCCGCGGUAA
rnacentral:rRNA from 1 species